rnacentral:sRNA from 1 species
CAGUGGUUUAAUUCUUACCUCCGUGGAC